rnacentral:tRNA from 1 species
GGGCGAUUAGCUCAGCUGGCUAGAGCGCACGGAUCACACCCGUGAGGUCGAGGGUUCGAGUCCCCCACCGCCCAC